rnacentral:rRNA from 1 species
UACGAAGGGGGCGAGCGUUGUUCGGAUUUACUGGGCGUAAAGGGCGCGCAGGCGGUCAUUUUUGUCGAGUGUGAAAUCCCUCGGCUCAACUGAGGAACUGCCUUUGAAACUGUCGGGCUUGAGGCCGGGAGGGGGUAGCGGAAUUCCCAGUGUAGCGGUGAAAUGCGUAGAUAUUGGGAGGAACACCGGUGGCGAAGGCGGCUACCUGGACCGGUAUUGACGCUGAGGCGCGAAAGCCAGGGGAGCAAACGGG